rnacentral:misc_RNA from 1 species
CUUAUUAAGGGUUCACAGCUAUAGCUUUUCUCCCAGCCCCACCGCAUUCUUGUUGUUGCUGUAAUAACUCUCCCUUUCUCUCUCUCUUUUUUUUCUCUCUGUGUAUGCUCUUGUGAACGCUGGCUACAACUUCCAGAGUUUUCACAAUCUAACUCGCCGGGAGAUUGAUGAGAUCCUGAACAUAUUUCAGUUUGAUUUGAUUGAGAUUUGUUCUGCUUUUUUCUUUUCGAAGUAUGGUCUGGUGGAGUUUAGAGCCGGUGAUUUUGGGCAAUGAGAGUGUGAACAAUAGUUCUUUGAGGAAAUUUGGGAGAAGGAAUUUGAGAAUUCGUUGAGGAAAUCGAAUUAUCAUUUGGUGUGUUGAAUAAGGAUUUUUGUCGUUUCUUUUUUUUUAUAUAUAUAUAUUUUUUCUUGAUCUGGUUCUACUUUUGGCAAUUUUGGAUCUUGAAGAUUCUGAAAAGAAAAAUAGCUGAACAAACAAAGUUUUACAUUUUCCUGCUUGAUUCAAUUUCAUCUGUCGCAAAAUCAGGGCUUUCUGCUGCCGUUACGGAUCCUACAUUGUUCAAAGUUUGAUAUAAAAAGAGUAAACGACUCGUCGUUAGGAAAGGAUAGUGUACUGAGAGAAAUGUGCAGGAUAGAAAGGAGUGAGAGAAAGAGUGGUGAAAUUGGGGAGAGAAGAGAAAGAGAGAAGAAUAUGGGAAUGGUUAAAGGAAUGGAGAAGGUGAAGAGUAUUUCGAGGUCGAAAAUGAAGAUGUGGAUGAUACGAGCCACCACUUCGGUGUUGUUGUGGACAUGUGUUGUUCAAUUGACGACGAUCGGUGAGAUGUGGGGACCUAGGGUUUUGAAAGGAUGGCCCUCUUGUUUCUCGCACGAAUCCGCUGCCGCCCUGGAGGAGAAGGUUCCAGCUGUGCCUGCUCGAGUUCUGCCACCGAAGAGAGUUUACAAGAACAAUGGCUACCUCAUGGUUUCAUGCAAUGGAGGUCUCAAUCAAAUGAGAGCAGCGAUUUGCGAUAUGGUUGCUAUUGCAAGAUAUUUGAAUGUAACACUUAUAGUUCCAGAGCUUGAUAAAACUUCGUUUUGGGCUGAUCCCAGGUGAGUCAAUUCUUGAUGAUUCCGUGCAAACUUGAAGCUUUUGAAUGUUGCUAAUUUCGGUGGAAGGAUUACAAGUUGCUUCUUAUUGGAAUCAUAUAUUUGUCUUUCUGAGGAAUUUAUGUUAUUGCAGUGAGUUUCAAGAUAUAUUUGAUGCAGAACAUUUCAUCACAUCAUUGAGAGAUGAGGUCCGGAUAUUGAAAGAAUUGCCUCCUAGGUUGAAGAGGAGAAUGGAGCUAGGGAUGACUUAUACCAUGGCACCAGUUAGUUGGUCUGAUAUAUCUUAUUAUCAUAACCAGAUUCUUCCUUUGAUACAGAAGUACAAAGUUUUACAUCUUAAUAGAACUGAUACACGACUUGCCAAUAAUCGUCAACCUCUGGAGAUUCAGAAGUUGCGCUGUCGUGUAAAUUUUAGCGCUUUAAGAUUUACUUCUCAGAUAGAGGAGCUGGGUAAAAGAGUUAUAAAGCUUCUUAGGCAAAAUGGUCCAUUUCUAGUACUUCACCUCAGAUAUGAGAUGGACAUGCUGGCCUUUUCUGGUUGUACUCAAGGUUGCAACAAUGAGGAGGUAGAAGAAUUGACAAGAAUGAGAUAUGCUUAUCCUUGGUGGAAAGAGAAAAUAAUAAAUUCUGACUUGAAAAGGAAAGAUGGGUUGUGCCCUUUGACACCAGAGGAAACAACCCUUACAUUGAGGGCAUUGGACAUAGAUCCAAAUAUGCAGAUCUAUAUUGCAGCGGGUGAGAUAUAUGGUGGAGAAAGGAGAAUGGCAAGUCUUGCAGCGGCUUACCCCAAACUGGUCAGAAAGGAAACAUUGUUGGAACCAUCAGACCUUAGGUUUUUUCAGAAUCACUCAUCCCAGAUGGCAGCAUUAGACUAUCUUGUUUCAUUGGAGAGUGAUAUCUUUGUCCCCACAUACGAUGGAAACAUGGCUAAAGUUGUUGAAGGCCAUAGGCGGUAUAGUUGUGCUGGCACUGUACUUCUAUUUGUCGUGUAUUACUUAUAGUAGGUUAUUUUGUAUUUUUAAAAAUAAUUUAGUGGUUUUUUCUGGCUUCAGAUGAAUGAUUUUGGGAUUCAUAUCCCUUCCGGUUUUAAGAUCCUAAUUUUUGUCUCAAUCAGGACUAAUAUUUGUGUAUGCCCCUUAAUCCAGACAGAGUUAUUUAUUCUGGCUGUGAAACCACUAUCAAAAUCAGAAUCCUCAUCUUAUUUGAAAUUGAUCAACUUUUUUUUUUUUUUUUAUCAGAACUUUUUUUGUUAUUUUUUGGAACAAUUGUUAUGUCAUCUGAGGAAGGUUCCUGAAGUUUCUCCUAAUGUGUUUUUGAAUGGAUCUCCAUAUGAUGGUUAUUUUUACAUUAUUCACACUCCUCUUUCUUUGUGAAGUCCUUAUUAACAUUCUGUUAUGUUUGAUUCUUCUUCAGAUUCCUUGGGUUCAAGAAGACAAUU